UUUGAGGUGAGUCUCGAAGAGCAAACAGGA
rnacentral:piRNA from 1 species